CAGUAGACUUCGAACUUCCCAAGGAACAGAGCCUGGGCAAGCUCAACUCCAGGCAGCCAAGCACGACGGCCGCCGACGUCAUCCUCAAGGACAGUGCCACCGUGCUGCUCAAAGAGUUUGAGUACGACGGCAGCUGUACCGGCUCGUUCUUCGUGGCGGCCCAAACAUCACAGGCCAAGCCGGAGGACCUGAUACACCUCGCAUACGACAACGGAAAGAGAUCCGCGCUGGAGCGCUACGAUAAGGUGGACGUGAAUGUCAAGCUUCCCGAGGGCCACCACUGGAACGAGUUCGAAUGGUUCUCGGUGUACUGCGAUCGCAAGAAGGAG